rnacentral:piRNA from 1 species
UUCAUGAGAGAAGCAAACCUCGUGCG